rnacentral:misc_RNA from 1 species
GAUGAAGAACGUAGCGAAAUGCGAUAAGUAAUGUGAAUUGCAGAAUUCCGUGAAUCAUCGAAUCUUUGAACGCAUAUUGCGCCCUCUGGCAUUCCGGAGGGCAUGCCUGUCCGAGCGUCAUUUGAAACCUCAAGCUCAGCUUGGUGUUGGGUGUCUGUCCCCGCCUCACCGCGGGGACUCGCCUCAAAAUCAUUGGCGGCCGGUACGUUGGCUUCGAGCGCAGCAGAAACGCGAACUCGAGGCCCGGCGGAUCGGCGACCAGAAGUCACUUCUUCACAGUUUGACCUCGGAUCAGGUAGGGAUACCCGCUGAACUUAAGCAUAUCAAUAAGCGGAGGA